GAUCCUGGCUCAGAACGAACGCUGGCGGCGCGUCUUAAGCAUGCAAGUCGAACGGCAAGAGGUAGCAAUACCUCCUAGAGUGGCGGACUGGUGAGUAACACGUGGGUGACAUACCCUUCAGAUGGGGAUAGCUAUUAGAAAUAGUAGAUAAUACCGAAUACGAGCACAGGGGUUAGAGAUCUGUGAGGAAAGGAGCUAAGGCUCCGCUGAAGGAAUGGCCUGCGGCCCAUUAGCUAGUUGGUGAGGUAAGAGCCCACCAAGGCGAUGAUGGGUAUCCGGCCUUAGAGGGUGAACGGACACAUUGGGACUGAGAUACGGCCCAGACUCCUACGGGAGGCAGCAGCUAAGAAUCUUCCGCAAUGGGCGAAAGCCUGACGGAGCCGACGCCGCGUGAACGAAGAAGGCCGUGAGGUUGUAAAGUUCUUUUCGGGAGGGGAACAACCGUGGCAGGGAAUGGCCGCGGGAUGACGUGAAUCCCGGAAUAAGCCCCGGCUAACUACGUGCCAGCCGCCGC
rnacentral:rRNA from 1 species